UACAGGGGGUGCAAACGUUGCUCGGAAUUACUGGGCGUAAAGGGCUUGUAGGUGGCCAACUAAGUCAGACGUGAAAUCCCUCAGCUUAACUGGGGAACUGCGUCUGAUACUGGAUGGCUUGAGUUUGGGAGAGGGAUGCGGAAUUCCAGGUGUAGCGGUGAAAUGCGUAGAUAUCUGGAGGAACACCGGUGGCGAAGGCGGCAUCCUGGACCAACACUGACACUGAGGAGCGAAAGCCAGGGGAGCAAACGGG
rnacentral:rRNA from 1 species